rnacentral:rRNA from 1 species
UACAGAGGGUGCGAGCGUUAAUCGGAAUUACUGGGCGUAAAGCGUGCGUAGACGGUUAUUUAAGUCGGGUGUGAAAGCCCCGGGCUCAACCUGGGAAUUGCAUUCGAGACUGAAUAGCUAGGGUACGGUAGAGGAAAGCGGAAUUUCCGGUGUAGCGGUGAAAUGCGUAGAUAAUCGGAAGGAACAUCAGUGGCGAAAGCGGCUUCCUGGACCAGUACCGACGUCAGGCACGAAAGCGUGGGGAGCAAACAGGA